AACUUUUGUGGAGGCAAUUGGGAGAAAAGCAAAGAUGGGCGCAUCAUCUUUUUUCUUUUGCUUCUUCCUACCGAAGAGUUGGAGAAGACGACGUUGCUCGAUCAAGAUUUCACUGCGAUCCAUUACGAACUCGUCAAUCUCGCUCGGUUUUGUCGGCUCGAUUUCUUGUUCAAGAUCCGGCGCCGAUCGGGUUGGAGCUGAAUCGAAUUACCCGAGCGAUUAUUGACGAGUCCUUCAUGGGUCGUGGGUUCUUCAGGAUUCAAAAUCGAUUCUUUUCUUGGCUUCGGCCUCGGAUUGCGGGUGCAUUGCCUUGUCUAUGUUGUAUAAAGUGAACCUCGAAAGGAGGGAGAGGAAAGAGUGGAUGGGUGCUGAAUUAACUUACAGCAAAGGCGAUUCAGGCGUUUCUCUACAUUUUGAUGCAGUUGGAAAUCAUUUAUUUGGAAGAAUCAUGACAGGCGUGAGAAUUAUAGUUUUAGCUCUCAUUUAAUGUUUUUCCCUGAGUGCAGAAUUCAUUUGGAGAAAUGACGGAAUCACUUCCACAAGUGCUGCAACUGGCGAGGCUCCUUCAUUUACAUCAGAAGAUGGCUUAUUGGGAAAUGGUUAGCAUGACAAUUACUUUGGUAAUGGAUAUAUUUCAUCACUUAGCAACACUUCUCUAAGCACCCAAACUGUCAGAAGAAGUUUGAACUGAAGCUGAUUGGUUUAAAUGGUGCUUGCGUGUUGAUUUGUAGGAGCGAUGUGUCAAUGUCAUAUAUAUCUUGAUCCUGAAACUAAGUGAGCUCCUAUUAUGCAGUAAAAUAUUCAAAAGAAUAAAACUGAGCUUGGAUAACAAGCUCUUUUGAUUACUUUAGGCCUGCUAAAAGUUUAUUAGAAAUCGUAAUAGAUAAAUACUAUCAUUAGUAGAAGUUUGACGGGAAGUAAUGCAUGAGGGAGCCAAAGACCUUGCUUUUAGCUAUGGACCUUGAGGGAAUGACUUUUAAGUGGGUAGUGUGAUGGUAGAGUCCGAAGAAGAAGUAAACUUUCCAAAGAAGUUUUGAAACUUGGAGAACAAGUCCGAAAUUUUUCAGUCGAGAACAGUUGUUUUUCCUCCCUUCUUUACCAUGUUAGUGGCAAUCCCUUAUGUCUUUAUUGUAGCUCUUUUGCUUGUAUGCAGAUGCUUUUCUGAUGGACUUUUUAUUUUUUAUUUUUACUUUUAUUUUAUUUUUUGCUGAGCCAUGAACAUUUUAUUUGUUAAUAUGAUAAAAAUAAGUGGGGAAAAAUUAAGAUUUUUCUUUUCCCUCCUUCUGCCCUUUACCACCUUAGUCCUUGUUGAUUUUGAGGGGACAUAAAAAAUCAUGAAGAAUCUCACAUCGAGAUUGCUUUGAAUGAUUGAACAUAUGGCUUGGAAAAUUGAAUAGUAGAAGUGUCUUAUGUAGAAUAUUAAGAAUUUACUAAUUUUUAAUGGGAUUCUCUUGUGUAUUUGUAUGGGGUCUUUCUACAGUUCCCCAACCAUCACUGAUUUUGCUUGCGAAGUUACUACCUUGAUAAUGAAAGGUACCAACGGUUGUUUUUGCCCAAAAUGAGGAAAUUGCAAAGGUUAUUGUCAUAAAUUACUGUUCAUACGGGACUAUAGACAUACC